rnacentral:tRNA from 1 species
GCGAGUAUAACUCAGUGGUAGAGUGCAUGCUUAGCAUGCAAGAGGUCCCGGGUUCAAUUCUCAGUACCUCCU